rnacentral:rRNA from 1 species
UACGUAGGAGGCAAGCGUUGUCCGGAAUUAUUGGGCGUAAAGCGCGCGCAGGCGGUUAUGUAAGUCUGAUGUUAAAGCCCGGGGCUCAACCUCGGUUCGCAUUGGAAACUGCGUAACUUGAGUGCAGAAGAGGAAAGUGGUAUUCCACGUGUAGCGGUGAAAUGCGUAGAGAUGUGGAGGAACACCAGUGGCGAAGGCGACUUUCUGGUCUGUAACUGACGCUGAGGCGCGAAAGCGUGGGGAGCAAACAGG